UCCAGAAAUUCUCAAACACGACCGCCGCACAUACCCAUUCUCGGUGUUAUAAUACACAAACCCAUAUUUUUGAGAAAUUGUGUUUUCAUUUUUCUUCUUUCCAAACUAACUUAAAGGGAAAAUUUCCUUCAAAAUUAAAAAGUCAUUGUUCUUCAAUCUUCCUUCGCAGAACAGACACACAAAGAUCUUCAUUUCCAUCGUUGUCAUCGUCACCACCGUUUACAUUUCAAAGGAAAAUAAUUGGAGACGGAAUUGAAGACGAAUGAUGCAAGGGGAUUUUAUUCUCAAAUCAGAACCGACUGAUGCAAGGGAAAUUACUCUGCGUUUUGUUGUUUCAGAAUAUCACUCCAAUAUUUUUUCUUUAUGUCCGACUUUGAUUUUAGAUUUUAGAUUACUUAGAUCUGUUUUUCUUAGGGUUUUGAAGAUUAUCCGAGAUAUUCACAGUGGAAGGAGCUAUGCAAUUUUCCAGAUGAGUUUCCAGAACUUUCAGGCAAAGCAUAAAAGAGGUGGAAAGGAGACUUGACCCGUAUUUCUUAUCAUUCUGGCUGAAAGGAAAUGGGUUUUCAUUUCUACCACUCAGGUUUAGGGGUAUGUCCUGGACUUUCUUCUAAACUGCAGCUAGGAGUUGGUUUUCAUUUUUGUACUCUUCCUCAUUAUUCAUUAAUCUCAUCAAACAGAGCAUUGAAAACAAACCUAAGCUACGUCUAUUUUCUCUCUAGUGAAUUUCUCCAUCUUAAAUAGCCAGAGAGUAUGGGGACAGAUAUAGAACAAAGCCAAAAGGCAGGGUAUGCAACAAAAAAUUAUCACAGUCCACCACGGCAACCAUUUUUGGGCAUUGAAGAAUUAACGAAAUGGUCAUUUUAAUUGCUGAGUUUUUGCUACUCUUUUGUUUCUUUACAUUAUAGUUUCCAAUAUUAUCGGUUACAAAAGCCAAAUUGCUGGCGGUGAUGAUUGUGGCGGUGUCGGCGUCGGCGUAUUGCAUGGGCUGUUGGUGGCAUGAUCUUUGUUCUUGUUUACGUGCACGCCGGUACCUCUGUCGACAGAUCCGACGUACUUUUUUGUGUGAUUUUAAACCAAAAAGGAAUAUGGAGGGUGAUGGCCAGAUGGGAUUGGGGUUGAGGCUUGGGGUACCAAUGGAAGGACUGGAGUAUAAAGUUUUGUUAUGGACUUGAAUGGAUAGUCAGUAGUGGUGGUGGGACUGGCGACAUCACAUACGCACAUUGUGCUUCUUGUUUACUCUUUACACAAGUAGGAGAGUAGCAUUAUGGUCAAUUCACCUGGUCAUCACGUUUAGCAUCAAAUUCCAAUUUUUAUUUCUUUUGUGUGAUUUUCAUGAAUCUCUUAAUAAAAUGAUAAAGCUCGUGUAUUUUCCAAUUAUUCAUAUAAUACUUAUCAUUUUUUUUUAUGA